GAUGAACGCUAGCGGCAGGCUUAAUACAUGCAAGUCGUGGGGCAGCAUGAAUGUAGCAAUACAUUUGAUGGCGACCGGCAAACGGGUGCGGAACACGUACACAACCUUCCUAUAAGUGGGGAAUAGCCCAGAGAAAUUUGGAUUAAUACCCCGUAACAUAAUGAUGUGGCAUCACAUUAUUAUUAUAGCUUCGGCGCUUAUUGAUGGGUGUGCGGCUGAUUAGACAGUUGGCGGGGUAACGGCCCACCAAGUCUACGAUCAGUAGCUGAUGUGAGAGCAUGAUCAGCCACACGGGCACUGAGACACGGGCCCGACUCCUACGGGAGGCAGCAGUAAGGAAUAUUGGUCAAUGGACGCAAGUCUGAACCAGCCAUGCCGCGUGAAGGAUUAAGGUCCUCUGGAUUGUAAACUUCUUUUAUCUGGGACGAAAAAAGGCGAUUCUUCGUCACUUGACGGUACCAGAUGAAUAAGCACCGGCUAACUCCGUGCCAGCCGCCGCAGUAAUAC
rnacentral:rRNA from 1 species